GAUGAACGCUGGCGGCGUGCCUAAUACAUGCAAGUCGGGCGAACGGACGAGAAGCUUGCUUCUCUGAUGUUAGCGGCGGACGGGUGAGUAACACGUGGAUAACCUACCUAUAAGACUGGGAUAACUUCGGGAAACCGGAGCUAAUACCGGAUAAUAUUUUGAACCGCAUGGUUCAAAAGUGAAAGACGGUCUUGCUGUCACUUAUAGAUGGAUCCGCGCUGCAUUAGCUAGUUGGUAAGGUAUCGGCUUACCAAGGCAACGAUGCAUAGCCGACCUGAGAGGGUGAUCGGCCACACUGGAACUGAGACACGGUCCAGACUCCUACGGGAGGCAGCAGUAGGGAAUCUUCCGCAAUGGGCGAAAGCCUGACGGAGCAACGCCGCGUGAGUGAUGAAGGUCUUCGGAUCGUAAAACUCUGUUAUUAGGGAAGAACAUAUGUGUAAGUAACUGUGCACAUCUUGACGGUACCUAAUCAGAAAGCCACGGCUAACUACGUG
rnacentral:rRNA from 1 species